rnacentral:tRNA from 1 species
CGACCUGUAGCUCAUCUGGUUAGAGCGCCGCCCUGAUAAGGCGGAAGUAGUUGGUUCAAAUCCAUCCAGGUCGACCA